rnacentral:rRNA from 1 species
CGUGUAGGCGGGUCGGAAAGUCGGGCGUGAAAUCCCCAGGCUCAACCUGGGAACUGCACUCGAAACUUCCGAUCUAGAGUGGUGGAGAGGGAAGUGGAAUUCCUGGUGUAGAGGUGAAAUUCGUAGAUAUCAGGAGGAACACCAGUGGCGAAGGCGGCUUCCUGGACACCAACUGACGCUGAGACGCGAAAGCGUGGGGAGCAAACAGGAUUAGAUACCCUGGUAGUCCACGCCGUAAACGAUGGGCACUAGGUGUCGCGGGUAUUGACCCCUGCGGUGCCGUAGCUAACGCGUUAAGUGCCCCGCCUGGGGAGUACGGCCGCAAGGCUAAA